CUGUGAGGGGAAUGAUGUAUUACUAUCGAGCUCUUAAGAUGCUGGCAUUUCUAGACUCUGCUUCAGAGAUGGACAUUCGUG
rfam:Morus notabilis contig11952, whole genome shotgun sequence.